AUUUUUCAUUUAAUUUAUGUGCACUGGCAUGAAGGUGUCAGAUCCCCCUGGAACUGGAGUUACAGACAGUUGUGAGCUGCCAUGUGGGUGCUGGGAAUUAAACCCGGGACCUCGGGAAGAGUAAGUAGUCUGUGCUCUUAACCGCUGAACCAUCUCUCUAGCCCCCAGUUUUGUUCUUUUACUUAAGAUAGUGUCUCACACCACAGUCUGAGCUACCCUCGAACUUGUGGCAGCCCUCUUUCUUCGGUCUCCGGGCUACUGGGGUUACUGGUUGAUCCCACCACAUAUUCCUUGAUGGACUACAACUGUAACGUAUAAGGUGAAAUAAACUCUUUAAUCUCCAUUUUGUUUUUUGUUAUUUUUUUUAAUCACAGCAAUAGAAAAGCAAACUGAGACACCUUCCAAAAGUUAGAUGAGGGUGUAACAAUGGCCAGGAAGAGGAGACUUUCAUGUCAGUCAAGUUGCCUGCACGUUGUUCACCGAGCUCUGGAUAUGCAGCUUUUUGAGUGGUCACCCACACUGGGUAGGCUUUUCAGUGUUGCAUCUGCGUUUGAGUCGCUCACGUUCUGUAAGUAAACUCCCACCCACAUUCAUUGUAAGGAACUUUCUUUGCUCUGUCAUUAGUUCAGGGCGAAGAGACAUCUUUUAAUAUCUCCCCAGGAAAAGUCACAUCAGGUCUGUAAAUAUUAGCAUUCAACCUGCAAACAUCUCUUGAGCUACUUUAGCAAUCAGGGUACCUUGGCCAGAAGAACUGAGUGCAAAAACAACUGGACAGUGAAACAGGAGGAACUCCACGUCUACAUUUUGGGAAAGGCUUCAGUAGUGCUCAAAUUAAAGCAGCAGGGACAGGAAGACUAUUUGGCAACUAUGUUUACUCCACAGAACAAGAUUCUCAAUUUGAUGUUUUAUUGGCACACACUAAUAAUACAGAUCAUUUAAUGUCUGUUCAGGAAAACAGCACUGAGUUCAAAGUUCGUGCUUGUCAAUUGCCAUGCAACAUCUGGAAAAACAACAGAGAUGGAGACAUCCUAUAAGCCCUUCCCACUGGUCUUCUAAACAAAGGCAAGAUAGGGCAUGUAAACGGGGCAUGAAUGCCAAUCCUACAGCAUCAAGUGACAAUCAAAGAGCCUGUGAAUGGGGAGCAACCACUGUGAGGUCACCAACACUUCUGCCUGGAGAGGUCCCUGAAACUGAUACUCACUGACUCUGCUAGGAGGCGUCAUUGGGAAAAGCAUCCAGCUCACAGACGCUCUCAAUCCUUUGUCCCAGUUAUAAAAAGGUUAACAGAGAGAUGGCUCAGCGGUUACCAGCAUUGGCUGUUCUUCCAGAAGACGAGGGUUCAAUUCCCAGCACUCACACAACAGCUCAGAGCCUUCUCUAAGUCCUGUCCCAGGGAAUCCAACACCUCCUGGCCUCUGAAGGUACCAGGCAAGCAAAUGGUACACAAACUUACAUGGAGUAAGACACCCAUACACAAAAGAAGGAAGAAAGUUAACCAUCUGAUUCUCGAAGAGUCAGACACCCUCUGACUCUGUCUCGCAGAGUCAGACAUGUUGGUUUAGCUGCCAACAUGCCGAGGCUCGGUCUCCACCUGAGCAGACACCCACAGGUGCACUGGCUGGCUUCAGGAGGGCCUGCUGUCCAUGAUUCUACGACACUUCCGGAGGCAUUGAGAACCCUUCCCCUUGCUGCAUCUAGGUUGGCUCUCCUCCAUCUUUCAAGUGCCUUUGAGAACAGGUCACAGUUCCUAAGUCCUGAUUUAGAUAAAGGUUCAUACAACAUACCCCUGAAGGAGAAUUACCCCAAUUGCACCAUAAUAGCAAUGCCACAGGGUUUUAAACAAGUUACCUCCAUCUCAAAUAUCAGACAACUUUGCACACACUGUGGGAAAUGAGCACCGAUCCCUGAAUCAGUACAAAGAAAGCUCUCCCUGCCAGCUUUGGUGGUCAGAUUCCUUUGCCAAGGAAUGGGUGGAACUAGGUUCUUGUGGCCAUUUUAUCCAAAGCCUUAAGCCAUUUCUCUGAAGACUGGUCAAUGAGGACUUGAAGCAGCCAAACAAAGGGACAAUACUCUUCCAAGAAACAAGAAGCACUCUGCAUUGGCCGUCUUUUCUCUGUAAAUAUUUCCACUUCCUGA